rnacentral:rRNA from 1 species
UACGGGGGGAGCAAGCGUUGUUCGGAUUUACUGGGCGUAAAGGGCGCGUAGGCGGCCACCGCAAGUCGACUGUGAAAUCUCCGGGCUUAACCCGGAAAGGUCAGCCGAUACUGCGGGGCUAGAGUGCAGAAGGGGCAACUGGAAUUCUCGGUGUAGCGGUGAAAUGCGUAGAUAUCGAGAGGAACACCAACGGCGAAGGCAGCUCGCUGGGACGGUACUGACACUAAGGCGCGAAAGCGUGGGGAGCGAACAGG